UACGUAGGGUGCGAGCGUUAAUCGGAAUUACUGGGCGUAAAGCGUGCGCAGGCGGUUGUGCAAGACAGAAUGUGAAAUCCCCGGGCUCAACCUGGGAACUGCAUUUGUGACUGCACGGCUGGAGUGCGGCAGAGGGGGAUGGAAUUCCGCGUGUAGCAGUGAAAUGCGUAGAUAUGCGGAGGAACACCGAUGGCGAAGGCAGCUCGCUGGGACGUUACUGACGCUGAGACGCGAAGCGUGGGGAGCAAACAGG
rnacentral:rRNA from 1 species